GCCCGCUCAGAAACUUAAAUGAAUUGACGGGGCCCGGCACAAGCGGUGGAGCAUGUGGUUUAAUUCGAAGCAACGCGAAGAACCUUACCAGGCCUUGACAUGCAGAGAACUUUCCAGAGAUGGAUUGGUGCCUUCGGGAACUCUGACACAGGUGCUGCAUGGCUGUCGUCAGCUCGUGUCGUGGGAUGUUGGGUUAAGUCCCGUAACGAGCGCAACCCUUGUCCUUAGUUACCAGCACGUUAUGGUGGGCACUCUAAGGAGACUGCCGGUGACAAACCGGAGGAAGGUGGGGAUGACGUCAAGUCAUCAUGGUCCUUACGGCCUGGGCUACACACGUGCUACAAUGGUCGGUACAAAGGGUUGCCAAGCCGCGAGGUGGAGCUAAUCCCAUAAAACCGAUCGUAGUCCGGAUCGCAGUCUGCAACUCGACUGCGUGAAGUCGGAAUCGCUAGUAAUCGUGAAUCAGAAUGUCACGGUGAAUACGUUCCCGGGCCUU
rnacentral:rRNA from 1 species